rnacentral:misc_RNA from 1 species
CGGGACUUCACCUUUAAGGCAAUUCUGGUCUUGUCUGGGAGGAUCUUAUAAAUAUUGAGCAUUGCUUUGCCACCAUCUUCGCAACAACAUUUCAUCCUUUUACAACCUCAAAAACACAAAACAAAAAUUCCCGAAAUGGCUGAAGGAGUUCUCUUUGAUAUUGCUGGGAAGAUCAUUAAGAAGUUGGGUUCUCGAGCUUUUUGCGAGAUGGGAUUGUGGUGGGGUGUCAGAGACGAGCUUAUGAAACUUGAGGCCACAGUUUCUAG